AGCCUUGAUGACAAAUUUAAGACCGGAGUAUGAUGGAAUGCAAUGGAAACCAGAGGAUCUCCUAACUUAGACUGGGAAUGCCAGUGCCUCUCUAGAAAAGAUCAUAGAUAUUAAGAGCAACUAGGAAGAUAAUUGUUAUAAUGGAAAGCAUCCUGGACCAGGAAUCAUGGAGAGCUUACGUCUAUUUUUAUCUCUGGCUCUAAGCAAGAAGGACAUGUAUCCUGUAACACUGCUGGUGAGUAAUAAGAAAAGAAGAAGCUAAUACCACCAUCUUUACCAUUUGGGUAUUCCCAAAAUAGCACUUCUUAUUCCAUAGUCUUUUAAUUAAAUUACUAUAAUAAUGAUAAGAUAUGAGUGGAAGGAGCUUACAUCAGAGGUAGAAUAGUAAAAUUCCUACAGCUUCCAUAAAAUGAACAUAAAUGAGGGACAUUUUUGUAUCUUUUGACACAAAUGCUCACCAGUAAAUAUAGAAGGAAUAAUAAGAGUAGAAAAGCCACGAUUUUUCAGCAGCUGUAAUAAUAGUUGAUUCUGGCUAGAACUAUCAAUAGAUGCAGGAUAGUCAUAUAACCUGAAACAUCACUUAACACAGCUCACAUUAAUUACAAAGGGGAGAAGGAAGUUUUACAAUGGAUAAUUGGCAGAUAGUAUCUUAAUGACCAGUCAAGGUAAUAUGACCAAUAAGGGACAAAGUGAUGGCAUGUAUCUUCUGAGGUGAGGCACUGCAAAGGCUAUCAUGUAUGCAACACUACGUGGUACCAUGUCU